rnacentral:lncRNA from 1 species
UCACAAAUAAAACAAAUUUGCUGAGGCGGCUCGACUAAGACGUACGGGCAGCAUAAUUAAGUCCUCAUAACUCUCAAGUGCAGGCAUCAAAAAAUCAAAACUGAGAAUGACUGGUGAUAUAUAUAUAUAUAUAUAUAUAUAGACACCUCAAUCAAUUAAGAAAGAAGCAAAUUAUAAUCAUGGCUUCUAUAGCUGAUCAGGAAGAAGAGACAAAUAAUUUCUCACAUGCAAUGGGACUUGCAAGUGCAAUAGUGCUACCUGCAGUUAUGCAAGCAGUGGUAGAGCUUGAUGUGUUUGAGAUCAUAAGCAAAGCCGGUCCUGGUGCUAAGCUUUCGGUUGCGGAGAUUGUGGCUCAAAUUCCCUUAAAAGAUAAUAAUCCUGAAGCUGCAGCCACGACGUUGGAUCGGGUGCUGAGGCUGCUUGUCAGCUACAACGCUCUUCAUUGCUCUUUUGUCGAUGGACAAAGGCUCUACUCUCUUGCUCCUGUUUCUAAACACUUUGUUCGCAACAAUCGAGACGGCGUGUCGUUGCGUCCCUACAUGGCCUUGUGUCUCGACAAGAUCUGCUUGGAUGGCUGGUACAUAGAACUGCUUCUUUUCUUUACCGUUUCAGUAAAUCGAUCAUUUUCAUUCUCAUGAUUUAAAAUCGAUUAAACUCUGUUAAAAAGAUAUUUAAUUUUCAGUUAGUUUACCAUUAAUGUUAUAAAUGACACAAAAAGUAGAAAGUUAAUGAUUUCUUUUUUUUUUUAAUGACGGAGGAUUCUCAAAUAUGAAAACAAAAAUGAUUGAUUUUAACGAACAACAACGUUUUUUUUUUCGUUUCUCGACAAAAAUUAGUUUUUCGAAUUUCAAGGUUAAUUGUGUGGUCUAAUUUUUGAAUCACCAGCACCAAACCAAGCUUCUGAAAUAGUUACUAACUGUGUUUGGAUUUUGAUAAAUUCAGGUUUGGAUUGAAAAAGCAAAUUCUUGAAGGAGGAAUUGCGUUUAAUAAAGCGCACGGAAUGCAAAUCUAUGAUUACUUAGGCGUCGACUCAAGGUUCAAUGAUGUUUUCAACAAUGGAAUGUUAAGCCACACUUCUAUUGUCAUGGAGAAGGUCCUAGAAUCAUACAAAGGCUUUGAGCAUGUUAAAAAGCUUGUGGAUGUUGGCGGUGGCUUGGGGAUCACUCUUAAUAUGAUAAUUUCAAAAUAUCCUCAUAUUAAGGGUAUUAAUUAUGACUUACCUUAUGUCAUUAAAGAUGCCCCAUCUUAUUCAGGUACUUUAUUUAUAAAAUUUGUAUAGUAUUUUUGUUAAUGAUUCAUCGAUGUUACACUAGCUAACAAAAGUUAGUUUAUUUAAAUUUCAGGGAUAAAACAUAUAGGUGGAGAUUUGUUCAAAAGUAUUCCUGAGGCAGAUACUAUUUUUAUGAAGGUUUAUAUUUUUUUAUAUCACUUGAAAUCAUCAUAAGGAAAAAUUAAAUAGAGAGAAUGACACUUUUCUCCCUAUUGUUUUUGAGUUAAGAUGUAUCCUAACCCUGUUGCUCACUUGGUAUUAGAACUUUGAUAGAAAAAUUCAAAGGGAUAAUAGGAUAUUAUGAAAACUAUUAAAAGAAAAAAAAUGGUGAAACUCAAAACUAUAUAUACAAGGAAAGUGUCAACAACUCUCUUUUUUUCUUCAAUGGUAAAAUGGGUGGGCAAAGCCCAAAUUAACUAAUUAUUGAUCCCAUAUCUCCCUUGAGUUCAAACUUGGGUGACAGUUAAAUAAAAUUGAUUGAAAACAAUUCGAUCAGGCACCUCGGGUGGAAAAUAUCAAUCUCUCUUCUUUAUGAAUGCUUUGUUCAAUCACAUAAAUUGAUCAUAGAUAUCCGGAUAGAACAAAUGAGAAUUAAUAUGAAUACAUGGAACUUUUGCAGUGGAUGCUUCAUAGUUUUGAUGAUGAACAAGCCUUGAAAGUGUUGAAGAAUUGUUAUAAAGCUCUUCCAUAUGGUGGGAAGCUGCUUAAUAUUAAUUCGACAAUUUCGGAAAUGCCUGGGAAUAAUGUAGCUUCAAGGGAAAUCUCUAUUUUGGAUACGGUUUUGUUAGUCCAACUUCCUCAUGGAAGAGAGCGGACCAAACAAGAGUACACUGAAUUGGCAGUCAAAGCUGGAUUUAAAGGUGUCAACUAUGAUUAUGGUGCGUGCAAUUUAUAUGUUAUGGAAUUCUUCAAAUAAAUUGCAUACUUAAUUUCAUUUUGGAAAGAUCUUCUCAACCCUUGGGGAGUUUCCAAUUUCCUAUUUGUGUUAAUUAUUUUCUCUUUUGCUUGGCCUUGGGGCUUGUCUUAUGUACUUUCUUUCAUCUUAUGAAAAUAAUACGUCUCUUAGAAAGAGAUUGAUGGCUGUAUUUGGUACUUCUUAUGUAAUCUUUUUCAGUUCAUACAUUCAGCAUGUGAUUUUUGGUUUAUUAUUGAGGCAAAAAAGAAGUAUUUUUAUCUUGCCUUACUAUUAUUAUUAUUUUUUUGUUCAUUUCAAAGUUGAAAAAAUCAGUAAUGUAUAACUUUUUUAUCAUUUAAAGUAAGAACAUUUGACUUUUGAAAGAGUAGUUAUAGAGAACUCAUUCUAUGCCAUCUCAACCUCACACAAGAGUAAUUAAAACUAGAGCUAAUGUUAAAGUAGUUCUAAAUUUUGAAUUCAUUACAAACUUAUCCUAAAAAUUUGCCUUAGUGGAGUUUAUGUGUGGUACUGGUGUUUAUUUCAUUUUUAUUUCUAAAAACAUAGUAAAUUAAGUGCACCACUAAGUGAACCAGAUGAAGACUGAAAAUUAUUGAAAAAUGGAUUGUGGAGAUUUGGUUUUUCAUCAAACAACUACUAAGAGCUAAUAUUGCUCGAUGGAAAAAGAAAAAAAAUCUGAAUAUUAUGAUUAUCUUUGAAAGGUACAUAGUGAAUAGAGAAAAAAAAAAGAAAAAAAUUUGAGUUCCUUUAUUGGACGAGUAUUUUGAUUAGGAGAAAUUUUAUAAUGUUGUAAUUAAAAUGAUGGUAUCAAUGCCGUGAUAAAUAUGAAUUUUGUAAAUUACGCAUAAGACUGGUAAAUGAAAAGUAAAAUAAGUAAAUUAAUAUAAGAGUGGUAAAUUGGCGUCUUAAAACUACAAACUAAACAAAUAUUUAUAAAAAUAACAUAAAACUUGUAAAUCAACAUUAAACUUUAAUUAAAAAAAUAAUUUAUUCAUUUAAUUUACAUAAAUGAUGAAAAAAUCACUCAUCAAUUGAAAAAAUAUAUAUUUAAAACAAUUGCAAUAAGUUUUAUUGUAUUGGUUUAACUAUAUAUUCUAUAUUCAUUCUUCGACAUAAAAAAAAAUGAAUCUUUUAAAAAAAAAUGAAUCUUUUUCUAUCUAUAGUAUUUGAUACUACACAUGUUAAUUAAGCAAAAAUUUUUUUUUUUUUACGUGAAUCAAGCAAAAAAAAAAAAGAUUUUCUUAUAUUACUAGAUGUACAUGAUAUAUCAAUAAAAUUGGAUCUAAUUUUUAGUGCUAUAUAUACUUCAUGUAAUUUUAAACUAUGUUUCUUAUUGUACUUAAAGAUUAUUUGGGUUUACGGUCAAGGAGGCUUAAAAGGAUAUAACAUCACCUUAUUUUACAAGCAGUGAGGUUUGAAAGUCUAACUUUCAGGAUAUGUUUAUCAUUCUUAUAUUACUAGAUGUACAUGACAUAUCAAUAAAAUUGGAUCUAAUUUUUAGUGUUAUACAUAUUUCAUGUAAUUUUAAACUAUGUUUCUUAUUGUACUUAAAGAUCAUUUGGGUUUACGGUCAAGGAAGCUUAAAAGCAUACAACAUCACCUUAUGUUACAAGCAGUGAGGUUUGAAAGUCUAACUUUCAGGAUAGAUUUAUCAUUAAUAAAAUUUCACAUAUGUCAUCACAUAUAUUAUACAACCUCAUAAUGUGACAAUUAGCUUAUAUAUUUACUAAUUUUGAUUCUAAAUUGAGUUUAGAAUCAAAAUUAUGAGCUAAUAGUCACAUUAUGAGUUUUUAUUUUAUAUUUGUAAGUUUUUAUUUUUUUAAUAACUCUUAUAUUAAGGUACUUGUUUUACCUUCUAUUUACAAGUAUUACAUUCUAUUUAUAUCAUUUAUAUUUUAUUUUAUGAUUAAUGUGGAUUUACCACUUCUAUGUUACAUGUAUAAGUUUUAUUUUAUUUAUCAAUAAUAUAAUGAUUUAUCACUUUUAGGUUAAUUUAUUUGUUUUACCUUCUAUUUACAAGUUUUAUGUCCCAUUUACUUUUUUAUGUUUUAUUUACACUUUAAUGUUAAUUUACAAGUUUUAUACUAUAUGAAUAAGUUUUUGUUUUAUUUACUAAUGAUACACCAAUUAACUACUCCUAUAUUAGUUUACUUAUUUUACCUUCUAUUUACAAAUCUUGUAUUCUAUUUAACACAAAUGUUGGCAUGAGAUUCCUGACAUAUUUCUAAAAUCAAAAUAAGAUGCAUAGAGGACAAUAAUUUUAUUUCAUAAUUAAAAUUUUUGUAAAGAAAGUUUGAAUAUGAGAGGGGUGAGAGAUGAGAAUAUUGACGAUGGUGUGUACUUUGGAUGGAAAAAUAGAUUGAAAAUAUAUAUAGACAUAUUAAAAGAAAAAAAUAUGAUCUAUACCUCAAGAGAAAUAAGAAAUUAUAAAUGCAGGUGGUCAAAUGUAUUUAUAAUUUAUAAUUUUUUAUAAAUAUGAUAAUCAUUAGACCAAUAUAAAAGUCUAGCAAAAAGUUUAAAUUUUUUUAAUAAAUGUAGAAGAGAUGGACGAAGAAACCAGCCAACAGUUCAGAAUUAACAAUUAAAGAUAUGAGGACUUGAUCGAAGAAAUGUGAAAAAUAAAAGGACACUGGGUUGGUUAGCGGGACCCUAAUUUAAUGGUAAAAAAUAAAAGGACACUGGGUUGCUAUCAAUUUCUACGGUGUGGUACGUUCAUAGCCGGGGAAGUAAUUGUAUUAGCGGGACCCUAACAUUAAUAAAAGGACACUGGGUUGUUUAGCGGGACCCUAAUAUUAAUGGUAAAAAAUAAAAGGAAACUGAGUUGGUAUCAAUUUCUACGGUGUAGGUUCAUAGCCGGGGAAGUAAUUAUAUUAGCGGGACCCUAAUAUUAAUGGAGACCUAAUAUUAAUGAUAAAAAAUAAAAGGACACUGGGUUACAAUCAAUUUCUACAGAGUGGGUUCAUAGCCGGAGAAGUAAUUGGGCACAAAUAUCAUGGUGAACACGGAUGAGAAAUAACCAUUUUAUCCCCGCAACUUUAUGUUUAUGGCCUCUAAAAAUUUUCACCUCUUUCACUUCUGGAACCCGCGCUUUCUGGCACAUGCACAAUACUUGGUUGCGACUUAUAGAGAGUUUUAGAAUUGCAACGACAUGGUGCUCUUUGAUAAUUCAAAAAUCCAAUAGAAUUUAUAGAGAAUUACAGAAUUGUGGUACGUGAUAAUUUGCUGAUGCAGUGAGGGGCCGAAAUUCUUGUACAUGUGAUUAAGUUAUAGAUGUAUAAUUAAGUAAUUAGCAAGCACUAAUUGGGGGUAUUUGUGUCCAUGAAAAUUUACAGUUGGUUGUUGACAUUAUACUGUGGGUGCGUAAGUGCAAUCACGAUCUGACCAUUCAAAUUAAAAAAUGGGGGUCCCACUAAUUAUAAAGUUUGUAAUUAUCACAUAUACAGAUAUGGUCGCAUAUGAAAAUCUUAUCAUAAAUUGAAUGGAUUCGAUGACUUAAUUGAAGUUAUGAACGGAUAUUUAAAUAAAAGAAAAUUUAUAAUAAAGAAAAGUAUUAAUUUGUUGUGAAUGUAACUUAUAUAAGCUGUAAGUUAGCGGGACUCUUCAAAUAAUUCUAAUAUUUUGAUUUUUAAUUCUUAUAUUUAAAAAAAUAUCUUUUGUAGUUAAAUAUAUUUUUUUUUUAUCCUUACUUUUACUUUACUUUUAUAAUAAUAGCCUUCUAAUUUUUUUUAACAUUAAUUAAGUUAUUUAUAAAAUUUUAAUUAUAAAAUUUACUAAUAAUUAUUUAUUAAUAAAUUAACUAAUAAAUAUCAGUAUGAAAGAACUAAUAUUUUUUUAACCCAUGCAAUAAUCUUGCAAAUAAUUUUUUUAUAAAUAAAAAUUAAUAUCAACUAACUUAAAGUGGUGUUUAAUAUCCUUACAAUAAUUAUAUUAAUAUUAAUUUAUAAAAAAUUAAUUUACUAAAUUAAUCUUAAAACUAAAUUAAUAACAUAAAAAUUUAUAAAACUAAUUAUUUUACUUUUCAUCGGCUGCAAUUUGUUGAAACUUGGGUGAAGACAAAUUGAGAUCUUAGAAAUCUCCAAUGAGAUAAUAAAAUAUAAUAUAUAUGUUAGGUCUUUGUUUUUUUUUUUUUUUUUUGGUUUAAACCACCCGAUUUCCGACGACCGCAUUGGGCCCCGACUAAUUCGGAUUCGGGGUGUAGUCACAGUUAAGGCUCUUUACCCCUCCCAAAUGGUGUGUUUAGUAGGGAUCAAACCCGAGAGCUCUUUCCACUUACCCAACCUGCGUCGCCAACUGAACCACAACCGUUUGAUUAGGUCUUUGUUCUUUAGAGAAUAGAUCCUAUUGAAAUUUGAACACGAAUAUCGAUUACUCACAAAUAAAAUAAAUUUGCUGAGGCGGCUCGACUAAGACGUACGGGCAGCAUAAUUAAGUCCUCAUAACUCUCAAGUGCAGGCAUCAAAAAAUCAAAACUGAGAAUGACUGGUGAUAUAUAUAUAUAUAUAUAUAGACACCUCAAGCAAUUAAGAAAGAAGCAAAUUAUAAUCAUGGCUUCUAUAGCUGAUCAGGAAGAAGAGACAAAUAAUUUCUCACAUGCAAUGGGACUUGCAAGUGCAAUAGUGCUACCUGCAGUUAUGCAAGCAGUGGUAGAGCUUGAUGUGUUUGAGAUCAUAAGCAAAGCCGGUCCUGGUGCUAAGCUUUCGGUUGCGGAGAUUGUGGCUCAAAUUCCCUUAAAAGAUAAUAAUCCUGAAGCUGCAGCCACGACGUUGGAUCGGGUGCUGAGGCUGCUUGUCAGCUACAACGCUCUUCAUUGCUCUUUUGUCGAUGGACAAAGGCUCUACUCUCUUGCUCCUGUUUCUAAACACUUUGUUCGCAACAAUCGAGACGGCGUGUCGUUGCGUCCCUACAUGGCCUUGUGUCUCGACAAGAUCUGCUUGGAUGGCUGGUACAUAGAACUGCUUCUUUUCUUUACCGUUUCAGUAAAUCGAUCAUUUUCAUUCUCAUGAUUUAAAAUCGAUUAAACUCUGUUAAAAAGAUAUUUAAUUUUCAGUUAAUUUACCUUUAAUGUUAUAAAUGACACAAAAAGUUGAAAGUUAAUAAUUUCUUUUUUUUUUAAUGACGGAGGAUUCUCAAAUAUGAAAACAAAAAUGAUUGAUUUUAACGAACAACAACGUUUUUUUUUUUUUUUUUUAUCGUUUCUCGACAAAAAUUAGUUUUUCGAAUUUCAAGGUUAAUUGUGUGGUCUAAUUUUUGAAUCACCAGCACCAAACCAAGCUUCUGAAAUAGUUACCAACUGUGUUUGGAUUUUGAAAAAUUCAGGUUUGGAUUGAAAAAGCAAAUUCUUGAAGGAGGAAUUGCGUUUAAUAAAGCGCACGGAAUGCAAAUCUAUGAUUACUUAGGCGUCGACUCAAGGUUCAAUGAUGUUUUCAACAAUGGAAUGUUAAGUCACACUUCUAUUGUCAUGGAGAAGGUCCUAGAAUCAUACAAAGGCUUUGAGCAUGUUAAAAAGCUUGUGGAUGUUGGCGGUGGCUUGGGGAUCACUCUUAAUAUGAUAAUUUCGAAAUACCCUCAUAUUAAGGGUAUUAAUUAUGACUUACCUUAUGUUAUUAAAGAUGCCCCAUCUUAUUCAGGUACUUUAUUUAUAAAAUCUGUAUAACAUAUUUGUUAAUGAUUCAUCGAUGCUACACUAGCUAACAAAAGUUAGUUUAUUUAAAUUUCAGGGAUAGAACAUAUCGGUGGAGAUUUGUUCGAAAGUAUUCCUGAGGCAGAUACUAUUUUUAUGAAGGUUUAUAUUUUCUUAUAUCACUUGAAAUCAUCAUAAGGAAAAAUUAAAUAGAGAGAAUGACAUUUUUCUCCCUAUUGUUUUUGAGUUAACACGUACCCUAACCAUGUUACUCACUUGGUAUUAGAACUUUGAUAGAAAAAUUCAAAGGGAUAAUAAGAUAUUAUGAAAACUAUUAAAAGAAAAAAAAAGGUAAAACUCAAAACUAUAUAUACAAGGAAAGUGUCAACAACUCUCUUUUUUUCUUCAAUGGUAAAAUGGGUGGGCAUAGCCCAAAUUAACUAAUUAUUGAUCCCAUAUCUCCCUUGAGUUCAAACUUGGGUGACAAUUAAAUAAAAUUGAUUGAAAACAAUUCGAUCAGGCACCUCGGGUGGAAAGUAUCAAUCUCUCUUCUUUAUGAAUGCUUUGUUCAAUCACAUAAAUUGAUCAUAGAUAUCCGGAAAAGAACAAAUGAGAAUUAAUAUGAAUACAUGGAACUUUUGCAGUGGAUGCUUCAUAGUUUUGAUGAUGAACAAGCCUUGAAAGUGUUGAAGAAUUGUUAUAAAGCUCUUCCAGAUGGUGGGAAGCUGCUUAAUAUUAAUUCGACAAUUUCGGAAAUGCCUGGGAAUAAUGUAGCUUCAAGGGAAAUCUCUAUUUUGGAUACGGUUUUGUUAGUCCAACUUCCUCAUGGAAGAGAGCGGACCAAACACGAGUACACUGAAUUGGCAGUCAAAGCUGGAUUUAAAGGUGUCAACUAUGAUUAUGGUGCGUGCAAUUUAUAUGUUAUGGAAUUCUUCAAAUAAAUUGCAUACUUAAUUUCAUUUUGGAAAGAUCUUCUCAACCCUUGGGGAGUUUCCAAUUUCCUAUUUGUGUUAAUUAUUUUCUCUUUUGCUUGGCCUUGGGGCUUGUCUUAUGUACUUUCUUUCAUCUUAUGAAAAUAAUACGUCUCUUAGAAAGAGAUUGAUGGCUGUAUGUGGUACUCCUUAUGUAAUCUUUUUCAGUUCAUACGUUCAGCAUGUGAUUUUUGGUUUAUUAUUGAGGCAAAAAAGAAGUAUUUUUAUCUUACCUUACUAUUAUUAUUAUUAUUUUUUGUUCAUUUCAAAGUUGAAAAAAUCAGUAAUGUAUAACUUUUUUAUCAUUUAAAGUAAGAACAUUUGACUUUUGAAAGAGUAGUUAUAGAGAACUCAUUAUAUGCCAUCUCAACCUCACACAAGAGUAAUUAAAACUAGAGCUAAUGUUAAAGUAGUUCUAAAUUUUGAAUUCAUUACAAACUUAUCCUAAAAAUUUGCCUUAGUGGAGUUUAUGUGUGGUACUGGUGUUUAUUUCAUUUUUAUUUCUAAAAAUAUAGUAAAUUAAGUGCACCACUAAGUGAACCAGAUGAAGACUGAAAAUUAUUAAAAAUGGAUUGUGGAGAUUUGGUUUUUCAUCAAACAACUACUAAGAGCUAAUAUUGCUCGAUGGAAAAAGAAAAAAGAAAACAAAUCUGAAUAUUAUGAUUAUCUUUGAAAGGUGCAUAGUGAAUAGAGAAAAAAAAAAAGAAAAAAUUUUGAGUUCCUUUAUUGGACGAGUAUUUUGAUUAGGAGAAAUUUUAUAAUGUUGUAAUUAAAAUGAUGGUAUUAAUGCCGUGAUAAAUAUGAAUUUUGUAAAUUACGCAUAAGACUAGUAAAUGAAAAGUAAAAUAAGUAAAUUAAUAUAAGAAUGGUAAAUUGGCGUCUUAAAACUACAAACUAAACAAAUGCUUAUAAAAAUAACAUAAAACUUGUAAAUCAACAUUAAACUUUAAUUAAAAAAAUAAUUUAUUCAUUUAAUUUACAUAAAUGAUGAAAAAAUCACUCAUCAAUUGAAAAAAAAAAACUAUUUAAAACAAUUGUAAUAAGUUUUUAUUGUAUUGGUUUAACUAUAUGUUCUAUAUUCAUUCUUGCACAUUAAAAAAACGAAUCUUUAAAAAAAAAUGAAUCUUUUUCUAUCUAUAGUAUUUGAUACUACACAUGUUAAUUAAGCAAAAAUUAUUUUUUUUUGACGUGAAUCAAGCAAAAAAAAAAAAAGAUUUUCUUAUAUGACUAGAUGUACAUGAUAUAUCAAUAAAAUUGGAUCUAAUUUUUAGUGUUAUAUAUACUUCAUGUAAUUUUAAACUAUGUUUCUUAUUGUACUUAAAGAUCAUUUGGGUUUACGGUCAAGGAGGCUUAAAAGGAUACAACAUCACCUUAUUUUACAAACAGUGAGGUUUGAAAGUCUAACUUUCAGGAUAUGUUUAUCAUUCUUAUAUUACUAGAUGUACAUGACAUAUCAAUAAAAUUGGAUCUAAUUUUUAGUGUUAUAUAUAUUUCAUGUAAUUUUAAACUAUGUUUCUUAUUGUACUUAAAGAUCAUUUGGGUUUACGGUCAAGGAGGCUUAAAAGCAUACAACAUCACCUUAUUUUACAAGCAGUGAGGUUUGAAUGUCUAACUUUCAGGAUAGGUUUAUCAUUAAUAAAAUUUCACAUAUGUCAUCACAUAUAUUAUACAACCUCAUAAUGUGACAAUUAGCUUAUAUAUUUACUAAUUUUGAUUCUAAAUUGAGUUUAGAAUCAAAAUUAUGAGCUAAUAGUCACAUUAUGAGUUUUUAUUUUAUAUUUGUAAGUUUUUAUUUUUACAUUAAGGUACUUGUUUUACCUUCUAUUUACAAGUAUUACAUUCUAUUUACAUCAUUUAUAUUUUAUUUUAUGAUUAAUGUUGAUUUACCACUUCUAUGUUACAUGUAUAAGUUUUUAUUUUGUUUAUCAAUAAUAUAAUGAUUUAUGACUUUUAUGUUAAUUUAUUUGUUUUACCUUCUAUUUACAAGUUUUAUGUCCCAUUUACUUUUAUUUACACUUUAAUGUUAAUUUACAAAUUUUAUAUUAUAUGUAUAAGUUUUUGUUUUAUUUACUAAUGAUACACCAAUUAACUACUCCUAUAUUAAUUUACUUAUUUUACCUUCUAUUUACAAAUCUUGUAUUCUAUUUAACACAAAUGUUGGCAUGAGAUUCCUGACAUAUUUCUAAAAUCAAAAUAAGAUGCAUAGAGGAUGAUCAUUUUAUUUCAUAAUUAAAAUUUUUGUAAAGAAAGUUUGAAUAUGAGAGGGGUGAGAGAUGAGAAUAUUGACGAUAGUGCGUACUUUGGAUGGAAAAAUAGAUUGAAAAUAUAUAUAGACAUAUUAAAAGAAAAAAAUCUGAUCUAUACCUCAAGAGAAAUAAGAAAUUAUAAAUGCAGGUGGUCAAAUGUAUUUAUAAUUUAUAAUUUUUUAUAAAUAUGAUAAUCAUUAGACCCAUAUAAAAGUAUAGCAAAAUGUUUAAAUUUUUUUUAAUAAAUGUAGAAGAGAUGGACGAAGAAAACAGCCACCAGUUCAGAAUUAACAAUCAAAGAUAUGAGGACUUGAUCGAAGAAAUGUGAAAAAUAAAAGGACACUGGGUUGGUUAGCGGGACCCUAAUUUAAUGGUAAAAAAUAAAAGGACACUGGGUUGCUAUCAAUUUCUACGGUGUGGUAGGUUCAUAGCAGGGGAAGUAAUUAUAUUAGCGGGACCCUAACAUUAAUAAAAGGACACUGGGUUGUUUAGCGGGACCCUAAUAUUAAUGGUAAAAAAUAAAAGGAAACUGAGUUGGUAUCAAUUUCUACGGUGUAGGUUCAUAGCCGGGGAAGUAAUUAUAUUAGCGGGACCCUAAUAUUAAUGGAGACCUAAUAUUAAUGAUAAAAAAUAAAAGGACACUGGGUUACAAUCAAUUUCUACAGAGUGGGUUCAUAGCCGGAGAAGUAAUUGGGCACAAAUAUCAUGGUGAACACGGAUGAGAAAUAACCAUUUUAUCCCCGCAACUUUAUGUUUAUGGCCUCUAAAAAUUUUCACCUCUUUCACUUCUGGACCCGCGCUUUCUGGCACAUGCACGAUACUUGGUUGCGACUUAUAGAGAGUUUUAGAAUUGCAACGACAUGGUGCUCUUUGAUAAUUCAAAAAUCCAAUAGAAUUUAUAGAGAAUUACAGAAUUGUGGUACGUGAUAAUUUGCUGAUGCAGUGAGGGGCCGAAAUUCUUGUACAUGUGAUUAAGUUAGAGAUGUAUAAUUAAGUAAUUAGCAAGCACUAAUGGGGGGUAUUUGUGUCCAUGAAAAUUUACGGUUGGUUGUUGACAUUAUACUGUGGGUGCGUAAGUGUAAUCACGAUCUGACCAUUCAAAUUAAAAAAUGGGGGUCCCACUAACUAUAAAGUUAAUAAUUAUCACAUAAACAGGGGGAAUUUUAGGUGCAACUGUGACACCGUGCCACAGUUGCACCUAGUCAUUGGAUGUCAGUAGACUCUAUUACUCCAACUGCAUCCAACGGUUAGAUGCAAUUGUGGCACGGUGCCACAGUUACACCGUAGCCUGAUCCCAUAUACAGAUAUGGUCGCAUAUGAAAAUCUUAUCAUAAAUUGAAAGGAUUCGAUGACUUAAUUGAAGUUAUGAACGGAUAUUUAAAUAAAAGAAAAUUUAUAAUAAAGAACAAGUAUUAAUUUGUUAUGAAUGUAACUUAUAUAAGCUGUAAGUUAGCGGGACUCUUCAAGUAAUUCUAAUAUUUUGAUUUUUAAUUUUUAUAUUUUAAAAAAUAUCUUCUGUAGUUAAAUAUAUUUUAUUUUUAUCCUUACUUUUACUUUACUUUUACAAUAAUAGCCUUCUAAAAAUUUUUUAACAUUAAUUAAGUUAUUUAUAAAAUUUUAAUUAUAAAAUUAACUAAUAAUUAUUUAUUAAUAAAUUAACUAAUAAAUAUCAGUACGAAAGAACUAAUAUUUUUUUAACCCAUGCAAUAAUCUUGCAAAUAAUUUUUUUAUAAAUAAAAAUUAAUAUCAACUAACUUAAAGUGGUUUUUAAUAUCCUUACAAUAAUUAUAUUAAUAUUUAUUUAUAAAAAAUUAAUUUGCCAAAUUAAUCUUAAAACUAAAUUAAUAACAUAAAAAUUUAUAAAACUAAUUAUUUUACUUUUCAUCGGCUGCAAUUUGUUGAAACUUGGGUGAAGACAAAUUGAGAUCUUAGAAAUCUCCAAUGAGAUAAUAAAAUAUAAUACAUAUGUUAGGUCUUUGUUCUUUAGGGAAUAGAUCCUAUUGAAAUUUGAACACGAAUAUCGAUUACUCACAAAUAAAACAAAUUUGCUGAGGCGGCUCGACUAAGACGUACGGGCAGCAUAAUUAAGUCCUCAUAACUCUCAAGUGCAGGCAUCAAAAAAUCAAAACUGAGAAUGACUGGUGAUAUAUAUAUAUAUAUAUAUAUAUAUAUAGACACCUCAAGCAAUUAAGAAAGAAGCAAAUUAUAAUCAUGGCUUCUAUAGCUGAUCAGGAAGAAGAGACAAAUAAUUUCUCACAUGCAAUGGGACUUGCAAGUGCAAUAGUGCUACCUGCAGUUAUGCAAGCAGUGGUAGAGCUUGAUGUGUUUGAGAUCAUAAGCAAAGCCGGUCCUGGUGCUAAGCUUUCGGUUGCGGAGAUUGUGGCUCAAAUUCCCUUAAAAGAUAAUAAUCCUGAAGCUGCAGCCACGACGUUGGAUCGGGUGCUGAGGCUGCUUGUCAGCUACAACGCUCUUCAUUGCUCUUUUGUCGAUGGACAAAGGCUCUACUCUCUUGCUCCUGUUUCUAAACACUUUGUUCGCAACAAUCGAGACGGCGUGUCGUUGCGUCCCUACAUGGCCUUGUGUCUCGACAAGAUCUGCUUGGAUGGCUGGUACAUAGAACUGCUUCUUUUCUUUACCGUUUCAGUAAAUCGAUCAUUUUCAUUCUCAUGAUUUAAAAUCGAUUAAACUCUGUUAAAAAGAUAUUUAAUUUUCAUUUAAUUUAC